UACGUAGGUGGCGAGCGUUGUCCGGAUUUACUGGGCGUAAAGCGCACGUAGGCGGCUUUGUAAGUUAGAGGUGAAAGCCCAGGGCUUAACCCUGGAAUUGCCUUUAAGACUGCAUCGCUAGAAUCGUGGAGAGGUGAGUGGAAUUCCGAGUGUAGAGGUGAAAUUCGUAGAUAUUCGGAAGAACACCAGUGGCGAAGGCGACUCACUGGACACGUAUUGACGCUGAGGUGCGAAAGCGUGGGGAGCAAACAGG
rnacentral:rRNA from 1 species